AGCUUUGCGCAGUGGCAGUAUGGUAGCCAAUGAGGUUUAUAUGAGGAGCGAUUAUUGCUAAUUGAAAACUUUUCCCAAAGCAUCUAGUGCCAUAAACCAACAUUACCUCAAUGAAAUAAAUAUUUAGAAAGUCAUAUAAAGUGAC